UUCUUUCUUUCUUUCUUUCUUUCUUUCUCUUUCUUUUCUGAACGAAACGAAGAAUUUUUUCUCUUUCCAUAGGUGGAAGGAUGGAUUUUAUACGGCAAGAAGAAGAAGAAGAAGAAGAA
rnacentral:ribozyme from 1 species